AGUGAGACUGACUGCGUCGGGGUUGAGACUGGGUGGAUGAGGCUCACCCCGGCGGGGAGAAGGGACGAGGAGGGGCGGACAGCGGAAGGUCCGGGAGUGUCCGCCACUGAGUCAUUGAAAGCAGCCAGAUACAGACACAUUCCAGGCAGUGGAGAAAGAGGAGAAAAAUGCCCCCUAACUUCUCAUCAGAAAAACAAAGGCCUAAUGAAAAUGGAAAAUUGUCUUUAAAGAGCUGAAGGGGGAAAAAAAACCGUCAUGCUAAAUAUGCUUCACAUAUGAGGAUGAAUUCAAGUUUUAACUUCUAGUCAUGGUGAAUGAUCCCAGGAGAGCACAGACUGGACCCUGCUACGAUCUCUCUUGGAGUGGAUCAGACUGAUGAUCACCAACAACCAACUCAUUCCCGGAUAAGGAAGAAGAGAGUGUCACCUACUUCAGUGUGGUUUCAACCCUACUUCUG
rnacentral:lncRNA from 1 species